rnacentral:lncRNA from 1 species
AGGAAUGGCCCUGUGGACCUCUGUGAUGGGACAUCUGGUGGAAUCUCACAGGCAGUUCUGUGGCAAAGAUGGAUGAAAGCUAAGGUUAGUAUGAAAAUGGCCCUAGUGAGAGAAGUUCGAUGAAAAAGAUAGUGCCACAAUGAUGACAUCAUUUGCUACUCUUGACAGUUGGGGUGACGAUAGCUAUAGACCACCAUUAAUCAUAACUGAGGCACAAAGAAAGAUGAUUGGGGGGCACUUACAGAGUAAGCAGUAUUUACAUAAAGACUUUCUUCCCCAGGACUCAUGAGGAAGCUGGAUAACUGAACAAAGCCAUGUAAGCAGGCUUUUUGGUAUGCAUGUGGUCCCAUUACAAGGAAUACCCAAUAAAUAGCAAAUGCACACUGCCAUUCACAAGCAAUUGCAGAGAAUGGGUGGGGGAUGUGAAACUAAAGAGCUUUGUAGCUGCCUGAGGAGGUGGGUUCUCUAUAUCCGUGGGAGCUAGUGAUCCCCCACAGGUCUUAGCUGGUGCCAUGAUUGUGAUCUUAGGCCAGAUUUGAUGUCCCCCACAUGGCCGAGUCCGCCAUGGAUGCAACAGGGCAGCUUUAUUUGCUGUUGCAGGUACAAGAAUGGGAAGCCAGAAAAUGGGAUGGUAAGUGAAUCUAAAGGAUUGUAGUAAUAGAGGCCAAAUAUGGCUUGGCAUUACACUUUUUGAAAAGUGCUUGGGCCACAUGCAGUGUCCUAGCCAUAUCUUUGUGAACACAGCCUACAUGAUGACAAACAAAUGCUGACUAAUGUGAAGAUCUUAAUUAGCUCUAUCUGAUGUUGGGCUCCACCUGGCUUUUGUGGGGAGAGUUGAAUUUUUUGACUGCACUAACAGUUGUAAUUCUUUCAGGUGGAGUUUGAAUCAGGUGGACAGUUCUAAAAGUACAAAUGAUUUCGUAUAAAGGUACCACAUGUGGGUCCCUUUAACUGAAGGCAUGGCAAGCUCCACACAAGGUCCUUCAUUUCUGAAUUUCAAGGGCUCCUCUGACAAGUGGACAGUGCAGUGGGUGCACCUUUUCCAGAGGUGACUGGAUGGAUGCUUGAACAGAAGAUUUGCCAAAUAGACAUUGUGCUGUCAAGAAUUUUACCAUUAAAAGUGCAUUAUUGU